UCAUGGUGCACAUGGCAUGUGUAUUUGUGCUCCUCCCCAGAAGGCACCACCAGAGAUGCCCACUUCUGGAAGGUUCCAUCCCCAGAAGGUCUGGUCUCCACCAGCUCCAUGUCCUGAGUCUGUUCCUCCUCCUCCCUCUGCCAGGUCAGGGUGAUGAAGGCAGGAUAGAAGCCCAUGGCCCAGCACCUCAGGGUGACUUCACCUUUAGGUCCAGGAUGAUGGGUCACAUGUGCCUUUGGGGGGUCUGUGUGGAAGAUUUAAGAAAUCCCACAAUUAACAAGAUAAACUGAAAUCUG